rnacentral:misc_RNA from 1 species
GGAGUUUGAUGGAUCAAAGCACCUCAUUCUGAAAGAGGAUGAUAUUGUUGGUAUUCUUGAGACAGAUGAUGUCAAGGAUCUGCAGCCAUUAAAUGACAGAGUCCUAAUCAAGGUUGCAGAAGCUGAAGAAAAAACCGCUGGAGGUUUACUGUUGACUGAGGCAGCCAAGGAGAAGCCUUCAAUUGGCACGAUUAUAGCUGUUGGGCCUGGUCCUCUUGAUGAAGAAGGGAACAGGAAACCACUUUCAGUAUCCCCAGGAAAUACAGUUCUCUAUUCCAAAUAUGCCGGCAGUGAAUUCAAAGGUGCUGAUGGAUCUGAUUAUAUUACACUCAGGGUGUCUGAUGUAAUGGCUGUGCUAUCUUAGUGGGACUAUUGAGUUAUUCCGUGCCAAAAAUUUCAGCAGAGAUCUAGGAAGGAGGAAGAGCUGCAUCCAACUUUCGAGUGAGGAGUAAUACUCUCUGCAAAUUAAUGAUCAAUAUCUCAGGUGUAGAAUCAAUUUUCUGAACUCAUUUCUGUUCUUGAUUUGAGGAAUUAGCCUUUGGGAAUUUUGUAUGUCAAAAGAUUGAAAACUGCAGACUAUGAGAGAUUAGCAAUAAUAUUUGCAUAAUUCACAUAUUGGAUUGUGUUCAAGCUGAUGUUUGUCAUUUUUGGGAUCAAGUUGUAUAUCCCUAGUCGCUAGUGGAUCAAAG